CAUCAUAAUGCCCCACCCAGCUUCCGGCACCUUUCGCCACUCCGGCACAAACCGACACAGCUUUGCGAUCUCGCCAGCAUGCAGAGUCUGAUGUCUUCCCUAUAGAUGAUUCCAGAGACUCUGUGAAGCCACUAUUACAAGGUGAGACGCUUUGCGUUGAUUGGUGCUGCUGGACCACACUGGAGGUGCGAGUCCGCCGUGUAAUGGUUUAUGCCAUUACAAAGGAGCUGGCCUCUGUACUCAACUGGGCAGGGGGAAAAAAACAAGGACCAGACAAAGCAAAAAAGGGCAUUUAAAGAGACAGCGCCGUGCAGAUGCAUAUUUGAUGGCCUGGCGCAGCAGGUAGGGGCGAACUCUAUGUCUGAGUUGGUCUUUGCUCAAGCAGUCCAGAAAUGGCUCAGAUAUGCUCCAGGUCGUACGGGUGGCGCGCAGGACGCCCAUCAUCCAUCCCCAUCCCGGAGUAAAUAAUAAAAAGUGACGUGAAACAUAGAAAUGUAAAUAGGAAACUUUGUCUUUUAAUAAAGUAUUUUGCAAAUGA